AAUCAACGCUGGCGGCGUGCCUCAGACAUGCAAGUCGAACGAUUAAAGCUCUCUUCGGAGAGUGUAUAGAGUGGCGUACGGGUGAGUAACACGUAAGUAAUCUACCUUUGAGUGGGGAAUAACGUCCGGAAACGGACGCUAAUACCGCAUAAUGCAGCGGCAUCGCAAGAUGACAGUUGUUAAAGAAUUUAUUCGCUUGAAGAGGAGCUUGCGGCAGAUAGCUAGUUGGUAAGGUAAUGGCUUACCAAGGCUACGAUCUGUAACCGGUCUAAGAGGACGGUCGGUCACACUGACACUGAAUAAC
rnacentral:rRNA from 1 species